AGGCCCUGAAGGCAGGGACCCUGGAAUACUGCAGCAGGAAGGCACCUAGAACUCAUUAAGUCAGCCUCUCAUGUUAGGGAAGGGACCACUGAGGCCCAGAGAGGGAGGUGAGUUGCCCAGGUCACACAGCAGGUCCUGAGCCAAGCCUAGGUUGGUGACAUCUCUCUGGUGUGCCUGCUUUGGAGACACAGAAAACCCAGCGACAACUGCUGCCUGCUGCUGCUCCUUGCAUAUUAACAGCCCUGCUUCCCCUGCCUUCCCUCCCAGGCCACGUCCUGCUUCAAAGGCUUCCCUGCAGCCAUUCCUGGGGCUGAUGCUGUGGGCCUUCUAUUUUUGGUGGCAUGGUUGGCUUGGGGCAGGAGGCUGACAGCCUUGCUUCACCUGCCCUGAGCCCUCCCAGGGGCUCUCACAUCCUCUGUGUGACAGGGGAGGAACAACUCUGUGCAGAAUGAGUCUCUGUGGGAAGACUCACAUGUUCAGAACAAAAAUAAAAGGUGCCCGUGCCACGGCCUGCCCUUCCAAACACUUCAACCUCCACCCUCCUCCGCCCUUCACCACUCUCCCUCCGAAGAGCCAGGCAGGCUUCAAAGCCAGUUCCAGCUCCGUAAGGAAAUGACAAAAACUCCCAAAGGCUAGGGUCUCCCUGCCCACGUACCCAAAGACAUCCAGGAAAGGGACAAAGGAAACAGUGGGUCUGUUGACACCAAUGGGUAGGACCAGCAUGAAAACAGUAGUACAAAAGACCUGGUCACACAGGCUCAGCCACAGAGGCAGGUGCUCCUGUCCCCAGGUUACAGACAUGGAGACUGAGGCAAGCAAGAGUCCACACCUCAGCAUACGGUAGCAAGGCCUCUCAGAGCCUGCUCCACCCUCACCGCUGCCAUUCUUCUGGCCAUUCUUCCUUCCAUGUCCCCCUCCAGGCCUGUCCUUAAUCUGCUUAGCACAGUGGCUAGUGUAGGGUGACUAGUGUGGGGUGUCUGUGAAUAUUGCAUAAAUCAAUACUUUCAUGGCUCCAACAACAGCACUGAGCAUGUAUGGAAGUGCUAGGGAUCAAACACAGGGCCUCACCCAUGCUAGGCAAGUCCCCUACCACUGAUACACCCCCAGCCCGCUAUAUGGAAUUUCUUAAAAGUUAUCUAAAUGGCUUCCCUACCAGAGUUCCUCAUUUCUGCCACCUGAUGACUUCCAUUCCCAGACAAACUAAAGCCAAAGUCCUAGACUAUGGGUCCCUGUUCAUCCCUGAGCAGACAGAUCCUGCUGUAGAGAGCUGAAGAUAGGCCUGUUUCCAUCUUCCCACUUUUGUCCAGAUGAGGGACUCUUUAUCUGCUGCCACUCCCUCACUUUCUUUCCUACAAGCUAAUAAAAAAACCCUUCUAAGAUAUGAUUCAAGAAAAUAUCUUUUAUGCAGUCUUUUCUGACAACUCCCAUCCCAUACCAAUUAGAACUAAAAACCCUUUUUGUGAUCCAACACCACCCCUGUUCAUAUCCACCCAGCAGCAGCUCCUCUGAAGGUGGGGCUCACAUCUGGGAUCUGCAUCUUUAGGUCUGGCACAGGCCUGCCUUCAGUAGACACUCCACUCUGCUCCCUGGGAGUAUCUCUGGGGAGAAGCCACUCCCAUGUGGCUGAGACUGUCAGGAUCAGGGAUUUCUCCUUCCGAAGGGAGAAUCACCCACCUCUUGGGGGAGAUAGGAGCAGAGAGGAGACCCCUGGGUGAAAGGACCUGUACAAUUUUAGAGAAAGAAAGAACAGGAGACAUCAGUGUGGCCCCACGGGGAACCCAACCCGCUGGCAUCCUGCACCAGGACAGAGCACAAAACCUUACCCCUCCUCCUGCCUUUUAUCUUGGGAAACCAUAAAGCCCACUCUGUAGGCCAGCAACCUGUAGGAAGGCACAAAGGGGCCACAGUGGUUGUUUGGCCUUCCUCUCUGGUCUGUCUGGGCCUCUGGGCUAAAGAGAGAGUUCUUUCAGUUUCUUCUGGUCCCAGCUCCACCCCUGGUGAGACACCCCUGGGUGAGUCACCCCUGGAUUACUCCUGGGCCCACCCUCCAAAGGAGUCCACAAGUGUGGCUGCCACUGGUCUGCCCACAUUCCUCUCUGCAGCCAGGGCCAAAGGCAGAAGCUUAUCUCCCCUAGCCUUGCCACCUUCCCACCCUACACCCAGUCCUGUGGCUCGACCUUUCCCCAUCCUCCUGAUCUCCCUACUUCUUGUCACAUCUGUUACGAAGCCCUAGUCCAAAUUCCCAUCAGGUCUUAGUCACACUACUGCAAAAGCUUCCUGAAUAUCCUGUCACGUGCUACGAUAUGGAUGAACCUAAGGACACCACGCUGGGGGAGAUGGGCCAGUCAUAAAAGGACAAACCCUGCACGAUUCUACUAACACAAGGUUUUCCUUUCUUCAAUGAGCCAGUGAGCCACAGCACCCCAAGGUAGUUGGAGAGCACAUAACCCCAGUAGGGAGGGCCUACAGCCUCUUCCACUUUGAAGAAGCUAUAGAAGACAGAGACCUCAGCACCCCAUAAAGAAUUAUGUGUCUCUCAGGGGAAAUGAGACAGGAGAUUAGGGUGUGGCAAAACUGGCUGAGAAGUAGGGGUGACCUGUUAAUUACAAGAUGUGCAGAACAGUUCCCAAAGCCCUGCACCUGGACUUCUUUCAAAAACUCAAGCAGGUUUUCAACAGGGUGGCCUAGACCUGACCCAACCUGGGGCAUGGGAUCCCAGCACCACUCUCAGGACUCAUGUGUAGAAGUUCUCUCAGGUUUCCUCGAGAUGUGGACAGCAUGAAAGGACACAGACACCAAGAAGAGCUCACUAUUGUGGCUUUCCUCCCCAUAGCCCACCUCGCAUCUUCCAGGGUGUACUUUUAUCUUGCCUUUUUCCUCCUUUGCUUGAUCCAAGCUCACUCUGCAGAGCCACAGAGCCAGUUUCUUUCUCCCUCACUCUUUCUUCACUUUUAUUUUUUCAAAU
ensembl:lncRNA